rnacentral:lncRNA from 1 species
UCGGGCCUCACAGAUCACCGGCAGCUGGGAUGCGAGGUGCAGGGAUAUGGAAACCUUGCUCUCACCCACGGAGCUCUUAGAUUCCCAACGAUGUCUCAAAAGCACUUUUAGAGGAGCCGAGGGCUUUGGGCCCGGCGCAGAGAAAUGUGAGCACUGACCCGCGUAGUAGCCGAGCAGCAAGAGGCUGUAGAUCCACAUUCCCGGGCUAGCAGUCCCUGCAAGGCCCCAACGAAGCGCCUCGGAAAAACAACAAAGCUUUGCCAGUUUCAUCCAAGGUUAAACUCCACCGCAAGCAUUUUUCUUUUUCUUUCUUCUUCCUAUUUUUUUUCCCUCCCUCCCCGGAAUCAGAGCGAUAGCGUUACUGCAAAGAAACCGCAAAU